rnacentral:tRNA from 1 species
GCGCGCUUCGCUGUUGGAAGGCACCGCGUUCCUGCCGGGGACGCUGUGCUAUGCCAAAGAGCCGGAUGAUCGCUUCAUCCGGCUCACC